rnacentral:rRNA from 1 species
CAAGUCGAGGGCAUCCGGGGGCGACCCCGGGUGACCGGCGAACGGGUGCGUAACACGUGAGCGACCUGCCUCCCCGCGGGGGAUAGCCGGCCCAACGGCCGGGUAAUACCGCAUACGCUCGGUCGGGGGCAUUCCUGAUCGAGGAAACUUCCGGGGCGGGGAGAGGGGCUCGCGGCCUAUCAGCUAGUUGGCGGGGUAACGGCCCACCAAGGCGGUGACGGGUAGCUGGUCUGAGAGGAUGGCCAGCCACAUUGGGACUGAGAGACGGCCCAGACUCCUACGGGAGGCAGCAGUGGGGAAUCUUGCGCAAUGGGAGCAAUCCUGACGCAGCGACGCCGCGUGGGGGAGGAAGGGCUUCGGCUCGUAAACCCCUGUUGCCCGGGGCGAACCUGGCGUUUCGACGCCACUGACGGUACCGGGUGAGGAAGCACCGGCUAACUCCGUGCCAGCAGCCGCGGUAAUACGGAGGGUGCGAGCGUUGUCCGGAAUCACUGGGCGUAAAGGGCGCGUAGGCGGCAUGCCAAGCGUGUGGUGAAAGCCCGGGGCUCAACCCCGGGUCGGCCGUGCGGACUGGCGUGCUCGAGCACUGUAGGGGCGGGUGGGAUUCCGGGUGUAGCGGUGGAAUGCGUAGAGAUCCGGAAGAACACCGGUGGCGAAGGCGGCCCGCUGGGCAGGAAGACGGAGUAAUCCGUCGGCUGACGCUGA